rnacentral:rRNA from 1 species
GACGAACGCUGGCGGCAUGCCUAACACAUGCAAGUCUAGGGGUAGCAAUACCACUGGCGCACGGGUGAGUAACACGUAGGUUAUCUGCCCCCAUCACAGACAUAACCCCGGGAAACCGGGGCUAAUAUCUGAUGAGGUCGCGAGAUCAAAGCUUCGGCGGAUGGGGAUGAGCCUGCGGCUGAUUAGCUAGUUGGUGAGGUAAUGGCUCACCAAGGCGACGAUCAGUAGCUGGUCUGAGAGGACGAACAGCCACACUGGAACUGAGACACGGUCCAGACUCCUACGGGAGGCAGCAGUGAGGAAUAUUGGUCAAUGGGAGCAAUUCUGAACCAGCAAUGCCGCGUGUGGGAUGACAGGGCUUCGCCUUGUAAACCACUGUCGGACGGGACGAAAGGAGGCCUCGGGCCUCUGGGACGGUACCGUCAAAGGAAGGGUCGGCUAACUACGUGCCAGCAGCCGCGGUAAU